ACAUGAGAAUAGGAGACCUCUUUUUGUGAAGCAAUCACAGUCAUGAGACCAUCGCAGAGACAAGACAGCGACUAGCCAGAGGCCUCUACAGCAGAACAUAAAGGACAACACAGAGAUCAGUAACAUGUGGGAAGACUCAGCGAUACUCCUAAUAUGGACGUGCCUGCCGUGUCUGUGCCUGGGGGUGACUGUAACCCAAGAACAAAAGCUCCUGUUAGUGCAAGAGAGAGGCUCUGUGACACUUCUGUGCAAUCAGGAUGAGACCACCUUCUACGCCAUGUUAUGGUAUCAGCAGAAACCAGAGCAAGGGAUGAAGUUUAUUGCUUCGUCAACAGCAGAAAAAAGCACUAAUGUGGAGGAUGUGUUUAAAGGCAAAUGGUCAAUGGAAAGAAAUCAUAUCCUGAGAUCUGCCCUUAUUCUCACCGGAGCUGAGAUACAAGACUCUGCAGUGUAUUUCUGUUCUGCUGGCACAGCCGCACACAGCCGAACUGAAGCCAACAUAAAACAUCCUGAGUAACCCUUUGCAUGCUGGGGUACAGUCAGCUGCUUACAUUCACUAAGGUUUCACAAAUGUCACAACAAAAAUAAUCUCUGUAUUUCCUGUGUUACCUACGUAGCUGAUUAAAUCUUAAAACGUGAAGAGAAA